rnacentral:tRNA from 1 species
ACGCCGGUAGCUCAGUUGGAUAGAGCACGAGAUUUCUAAUCUCGCGGUCGCAGGUUCGAGUCCUGCCCGGCGUA